rnacentral:lncRNA from 1 species
GCUGGCCGCCCCUUGUCUCUCUGCAUCCCUGACUCUGAGCGCCGGGCUCUGCACAGGAUCCCGGGCUGCACGAGGCACGCCAGUCCCGUAGCUCCUGGCCACCCACCGACCGUGGGCCUAGAAGGCUUUAUAGGAGCUGGUUUGCGGGAGUCUGGAAAGAGACUGGACAAGGGAAUGCUGGCACAGCGCAAUGCGGCUCAGCAAAGCUGCAACGAUGGAUUCUUGCAUAGAAACAAAAUCUUGUUGACAAUAUAAAACGAGGAAAUACAAGAUAGAAAAGACAAACCAGAGAGAGAGAGAGAGAGAGAGAGCGAGAGAAGGAGAACAAAAACUUCUUAUUGCUGUUUGGGAUAAGCUGAAAUCGGAGAGAGAAAAACGGAGCAAAACAAUUUUAAAAAUUAAAGUAUUUUAUACAUGUAAAAAUAAGGGGAAAUAACCAGGACGAAUCUCGAGAGAGAGGGGGGAGGGAGUUACCAACUUAAAUGUAUGUUUUUUUAAUGGGCUAAGAAGAAGGCAAAAACAGAAGGAAGAGGUAUACUUAUUUAAAGAAUUAAGAUGAAUAAAGUGCGCAGCUGGGAAGUUCACAGGUUUUGAAACUGACCUUUUCUGCGAAGUUCACUUUAAUACGAGAAAUUUGAUAAGAGAGGCGGGCCUCCUUUUACGUUGAAUCAGAUGCUUUGAGUUUAAACCCACCACGUAUGGAAGAGCAAGAAGAGGGAAGACAGUAUGAAAACGAAGGAAGGGAAAAAAAUGAUGUUAAUACAAUGCAGUGAUGCCACAGACAAUGAUUCUGAGAAAUGAUGGCAGAACUGUCCGGACUGCGACAGU